AGCCAUGUCUCAUGUGUCCGCUCAUCCACUGUUACAUUGAAUGUUUCCUCUCCAAGUACUUCAAAUCCUGUCCUGCGCACUGGUCAAGCCUCUGAACACCUCAACUCAUGCUGUCACGACAUUCGCCGAAGUCGGUCCGUCUCCUUGUUCGGGGAGUAUUCGGUGGUCGAAGUCACCGACCUUCUAGCCAUCAUUGAUCCAUUUUUCAUUUCCCAUUGGUUUUGUCUAGUCUUCCUACACACCUGGUUCCAUUCCCAUCAAUUACAUGUUGUGUAUUUAUCCCUCUGUUUCCCCUCAUGUCCUUGUCUGAGAUUGUUUGUUGUAUGUAGGUGUUUAUUGUUAUUCUGUUGUGUGACGGGUUUUGAACCCUCUAUUUGUUAUUUUGUAUAUUCUGGUUUUCGGGGUUUUUGAUGUUUAUUAAAACAGCUCCGUUUUUUACCAAGUUCAUUCUCCUGCGCCUGACUUCCCUGCCACCAACACGCACCACAUUACACCUGCAUCAUACCCUCAGUCAAUCACUGCUGUGAUCUGUGAUCAACAUUCCCAUUGCCUGUAAUAUUGUACUAUAAAUGUCUUUAAAAAAUGUUUUAGUUGACAUUAUUUUUGUCUUUGGCGAUUUUUGAAACACAUUUUGUCGACUCCGUGAGUUCCGCGCUUGAUUUGUAUCUUUGUCAUCGACAUAAUAGACCCUGGACCAGUUAUGGAGAGGAAACGAGGAGGAAAUGUCAAAUAAGAAAUUUGCUGUAGUAUUUAGUCUUUUCUGUCUUUACAUUUUAUUUGCACACAAAAAAAGUCAGAACAACAGUUGGAAAAAGUAUUAGUAGAGUAUCUAGUCCACCAAAAUAAAAUCCACAUGGCCUUAUCCAUGUGCUCUGUCUUGUGGAGACAAAUUGCCUCAUGAACCCACAAGCAAGUAUACAUGGUAAACUCUAAGUACUCUACUACAUUGCAAAAGGGUUUUUCUAAUGAUCAGUUAGCCUUUUAAAAUGAUAAACUUGGACUAGCUAACCCAACAUGCCAUUGGAACACAGGCGUGAUGGUUGCUGAUAACGGGCCUCUGUACGCCUAUGUUGUCACGACUUCCGCCGAAGUCGGUCCCUCUCCUUGUUCGGGGCGGCGUUCGGCGGUCGACGUCACCGGUCUUUUAGCCAUCGCCGAUCCACUUGUCAUUUUCCAUUUGUUUUGUCUUUGUUUUCUACACACCUGGUUUCUAUUCCCCAAUUACAUGUUCAUUAUUUAACCCUCUGUUUCCCACAUGUUAGUGUGCGUGUUUAUUGAUUGUUCAUGGCGGUACUUGUCGUCUGGUUAUGUUUGCCGGGAUAUGUAUUUACGCCCGUUAUUUUCGAGUGACCAGUAUUUCCCCGCUCUUUGAGUAUUGUCUGUAUACUGGUGCUGUCAUGGAAUUAAAUACCUUGUACACUCAUUUCU
rnacentral:lncRNA from 1 species